rnacentral:rRNA from 1 species
ACGGGCCAAAGAGGGGGACCUUCGGGCCUCUCGCGUCGGGAUAUGCCUAGGUGGGAUUAGCUAGUUGGUGAGGUAAGGGCUCACCAAGGCGACGAUCCCUAGCUGGUCUGAGAGGAUGAUCAGCCACACUGGAACUGAGACACGGUCCAGACUCCUACGGGAGGCAGCAGUGGGGAAUAUUGAACAAUGGGCGCAAGCCUGAUGCAGCCAUGCCGCGUGUGUGAAGAAAGCCUUCGGGUUGUAAAGCACUUUCAGUCGUGAGGAAGGUAGUGUAGUUAGUAUCUGAAUUAUUUGACGUUAGCGACAGAAUAAGCACCGGCUAACUCCGUGCCAGCAGCCGCGGUAAUACUGAGGGUGCGAGCGUUAAUCGGAAUUACUGGGCGUAUAGCGCAUGCACGUGGUUUGUUAAUUCAGAUGUGAAAGCCCGGGGCUCAUCCUCGGAAUUGCAAUUUGAAACUGGCAGACUAGAGUACUGUAGAGGGGGGUAGAAUUUCAGGUGUAGCGUUGAAAUGCGUAGAGAUCUGAAGGAAUACCGGUGGCGAAUGCGGCCCCCUGGAUAGAUACUGACACUCAGAUGCUAAAGCGUGGGGAGCAUUCAGGAUUAGAUACCCUGUUAGAUCUCGCCGUAUACGAUGUCUACUUGGAAGUUGUGGCCCUUGACUAGUGUCUUUCAGAGCUGACGCUUUAAGUACACCUGCCUGGGUAGUACGGUCGGCAUGAUUAAUACUCAUAUUGACAUAGCCCGGGGCCUCGGCACUAUACGUCGGAGCAAUGU